rnacentral:piRNA from 1 species
UAGUAACUAUCUACUGUUCAGGC